ensembl:lncRNA
UAAAAAGUUUAAAAAAGCAAGUGAUUAGCAUAUUGCUAGCAUUACUAGCAAGUGACUAGCAUGUCAUUAGCAUGAAUAGCAAAGUUACUAGCAUGUUGCUAGCAUAAUUAGCAAGAUACUAGUAUGCUGCUAGCAUGUUUCUAGCAUGAUUAGCACGUCGUUAGCAUGAUUAGCAAGUUAUUAGCAUGGUGCAAGCACAUUUCUAGUAUGAUUAGCAUCAGUCUGAAGAUCUGGGCUGAGUUUGGAGUCUGUAGAGUUAAAGCUCUAGGAGGAGUUAGUUUAAGUAGUUUCUCAAGCCAACUUAAUAAGUAAUAAUCUGUUGUUUCAACUUUAAAAAAGUAAGUGUUCCUGCUGAUUUAAGUUGGAUAUUUACUGUAAGUUAUCUCAACCAAUUAUAAGUAAUCUAAACUAAAGUUAAUUUUAAUUUUAAGUUGAUAACUAAUUGCAGCAUUAUUUUUUUACAGUAUAAAUAUUACAGCAUAUUAAUUACUAUAUCAUACUGUAUAAAAUUGUUAGACAUGACGCAAUGUGACUUUUUAUUAAGUUGACACUGUUUUUAUCUACAAUGUAAAAACCUGUAGAUGACAUUUAUGGCUGCCAUUUGUGAUUAUACUUCAUUUAAAAUCUUGAAUUUAUAUAGUAUUGUUAUUUUUAAAUUAAUUUUCUCUGAAAUGUAGAUAUUUUCAGCGUUCUAUUAGCUUCUCAUAGUUGGGUUAAGACUGUCGCUGUGAUUUUGCCAAGUAAGACAUGUUCCUGAACUCCAAAAAGUGAUAGUGAAACAUAAACCUGUAUUACAAAAAAAACCCUGAUAAAUGUCAAACUUCACUUGAACUCUAAAUUGUAGAUUUUGUUGUAUAAAUGAAUGGCAGAACAUCAGUGGAGCGUCACAAACAACAUGAGCAGCAAAGAGAACAAGAGUCAAUCUACUGAAGCAGGAGAGAAACAGAGCAAGACACGACUCAGACUGAACAGCAUUGGUAAAAACAGACCAAACUUUUGUCAUGAUGCAGACAGACCUGCAGAGAUUCAUUCUGAUGAUACAAAGACAGACGCUCACAGAUGA